ACACCACUCGGGACCCUUUGGUCCCGGCGUUGGGGACCGGCCACGCGCCGGCCCCGAAUUAUAGUGGCGGUCGUCACGCGACUCCCCUGUGCAGUAGCGAUACAACGCAGAGGGCCUAGCGGGUCAACCACGCCGUAAAACCCCCAACUUUAUGA
rnacentral:misc_RNA from 1 species